AUUGAACGCUGGCGGCAUGCUUUACACAUGCAAGUCGAACGGUAACAGGCCUUCGGGUGCUGACGAGUGGCGAACGGGUGAGUAAUGCAUCGGAACGUACCCAGAGGUGGGGGAUAACGCAGCGAAAGCUGUGCUAAUACCGCAUGUGAUCUGAGGAUGAAAGCGGGGGACCGAGCAGCAAUGUUUGGCCUCGCGCCUUUGGAGCGGCCGAUGUCGGAUUAGCUAGUUGGUGGGGUAAAGGCCUACCAAGGCGACGAUCCGUAGCUGGUCUGAGAGGACGACCAGCCACACUGGGACUGAGACACGGCCAAGACCCCUACGGGAGGCAGCAGUGGGGAAUUUUGGACAAUGGGCGCAAGCCUGAUCCAGCAAUGCCGCGUGCGGGAAGAAGGCCUUCGGGUUGUAAACCGCUUUUGGCAGGAACGAAACGGUGUCCGCUAAUACCGGGCGCUAAUGACGGUACCUGCAGAAUAAGCACCGGCUAACUACGUG
rnacentral:rRNA from 1 species